UACCCGUCGCCCGAGUGGUGACCAUUAUUAUUGAGUCUAAAGCGUUCGUAGCUGGUCUGAAUAGUUCGUGCUUAAAUCGUUCAGUUUAACUGGACGACAUGGUACGAAUACUUUCAGACUAGAGGCCGGGAGGGGGAAUGGGAACUUUCUAGGUAGGAGUAAAAUCCUUUAAUCUGGAAAAGACCACCAGUGGCGAAGGCGCAUUCCCAGAACGGACCUGACGGUGAGGGACGAAGGCUAGGAGAACGAACCGG
rnacentral:rRNA from 1 species